rnacentral:rRNA from 1 species
UACAGAGGGGGCAAGCGUUAUUCGGAAUUAUUGGGCGUAAAGGGCGCGUAGGCGGCCUGGCAAGUGGAAGGUGAAAUCCCUCGGCUUAACCGAGGAACUGCCCUCCAAACUGCUUGGCUUGAGACCGGGAGAGGUGAGUGGAAUUCCCAGUGUAGCGGUGAAAUGCGCAGAUAUCAGGAGGAACACCGGUGGCGAAGGCGGGUCUCUGGGCCGAUGACUGACGCUGGAGGAGCGAAAGCGUGGGGAGCGAACAGG